rnacentral:rRNA from 1 species
UACGUAGGUGGCAAGCGUUGUCCGGAUUUAUUGGGCUUAAAGGGUGCGUAGGCGGCCCCGUAAGUCAGUGCUGAAAUAUCCCGGCUUAACCGGGAGGGUGGCAUUGAUACUGCGAGGCUUGAGUAGAGUUGAGGUUGGCGGAAUUGACGGUGUAGCGGUGAAAUGCUUAGAUAUCGUCAAGAACACCGAUAGUGUAGGCAGCUAACUAAGCUCAAACUGACGCUGAGGCACGAAAGUGUGGGGAUCAAACAGG